GACGUAGGGCGCGAGCGUUUGUCCGGAUUUAUUGGGCGUAAAGAGCUCGUAGGCGGCUUGUCGCGUCGAAUGUGAAAACUCGGGGCUCAACUCCGAGCUUGCAUUCGAUACGGGCAGGCUAGAGUUCGGUCGGGGAGACUGGAAUUCCUGGUGUAGCGGUGAAAUGCGCAGAUAUCAGGAGGAACACCGGUGGCGAAGGCGGGUCUCUGGGCCGAGUACUGACGCUGAGGAGCGAAAGCGUGGGGAGCGAACAGG
rnacentral:rRNA from 1 species